GUUACGUUUCGCGAACGGCGCCGUAACAAAUUUGCAGUGGUUGGUACGAUUGUAUUAUAGAGUGCGCUAGGCUUUACUAAUCACUUCCUUUUGGAUUCGGGACGGACAAAUGAAAGCACUAAGCGCUUCAUGUAUCGUGAUGUGGCAAAUUUGCGACGAAAAUUCGUGAAUUUUGCAUAAAUGAAAUGUGCGGAUCAUCUUUCGUUUAAUAAUGCGGAUGAUAAGUGCUGAUUUUCAAUGUUCAUCGAUUCUUCAAUAAAAAUGAUAUGGAGUACGAAUCAGAAUCUGCAAAGCAAAUUGAAAUAUUUUGGCUGCUCCUAUUGUCUCGAUGGAAUUGACGCGAAGUAAUCUAUGACAGAAUCUGCAGUGAAUGAAGUCAUGUAUUCAUUUCAUCAGGUAUAGCUAUAAAAGCACAUUGAGCUGGAGGAUACAACGACUGUAAAAUGUAUCUUUUCCCUCCCAUGGGUACAUCGUGGUGGGAAAGUUCAGUACUCGGAUUUAUCCUGAAGGAGAAGCUAAUGUACUUUGGUGUCGUGUUUCGAAUCAUCAUAUUCGUUCCGCCGUAAUUUUGUAACGUAGUAAAACACACGUCGGGAGUGCGGGAGUGUCGUUAUGCCGGAAGUGCCGUGAUAGUUUCGCGCGAAUACGAAACGCCGUAUUCCAGCGAAUCGUAUGGAUGAACGCAUUUUCGAAUGAUAAAUAUUGAGACACGAUUAAACCCUUUUUGAGAAAUUUUUUUCUUUGAAUUUCUCCCUCUAUUUUGAGAGAAUCGCAUUUUAAUUGGUAAAUGCGAUCAUCUGAAACGCAGACGGAAUUCGCGUGUAACGUUGCAGCUUGAACAAUUUGGUUCGAUUUGCCUGCGACGUUGGGAGUGCCGUUUAAGUAAAGUGCCGUGCGAUUCUGCGUCGCGAACGCGUGUGAGUGCUUGAAAAUCACUGAAAGGAGGAGGAAGAGACUCGGGAGCAGCAUCGGGUGCUGGAGGACAUGAACUGCGUGCAUGGAACUUUGACAAAGUGGCGGUUUUAGGAGAGAAGAAGUUCCAGGAAUGCUACUUGCAGGAAACCGUCUGACCUACCGGUCAAUUGUCCGUCCGGUGCUCAAUUGAAAGGUGUGCCUGACUUUGUAGUCAGCAUCGAGGCGUCGUAUGGGAAUUGAUCGAUUAUGCUAACCGUCAGUACUGAGAAAUGAAGAGAGAGAGAGAGAGGGGAAGAGAGGAAGAAACGACAGUAAGUUGCAAAAUGUACGACAUCGACAGCUAUUUCCAUUCAAAAGAGUUGAAGGUAAAAUCCUGCAACGUGAGAUAUGACGUAAAUUCGAAGAUUUCUAAGAUUUCAAAAUUUUUAAGAUAUUUUGCGAAUGACGUAUAACGGUACACAACUUAUCAACUUAUUUCUUGGUAUAUUUCAAAUAAUUUUCGAUAACGUAUUUCACAGCAUAUCUGAAAGUGUCCGAAAACUGCUAAUAUAUGCAAGAAUGUAAAAAAUAUUGACGAUAAAAAUAUAGAAAUUACUAAUAUAUUAAAUAUUGCAAAAAGAGAAAGAUCUCAGAUCUCUCAGAAAAUAAAUACAGCCGUUACGACACAAAAACCGCAAUUCGAGAAAUCCUUAUAUUCACCACAACGUCUCUUGAUCAGAAAACGUCUAGGAACAAAUAUAUCAAAGUAUUCUAAUGAUUUUUACAAGUUGCGCGGACCACACCGAAGAAAAUACUUCAGCCGCGAAAGAAUGACGGUACGUUCUUCGUGAAGCGAACGUGUCUCUCCUUUCUGCCUGUUUUCGACCCGAGUAGACGACGCUCUUUCAGAACAGCUGAAUAAAAUUAUUAUGAUAAGACCUCGAUUAAUUUCAGACGGUGGAACUCCGGUAGUCGGCCGGCCGCGUAAGCCAGACUCUGAAUAGGCUUACGCGGCGGCUGGAUGUAUAUUCCGCGGCCCUCUCCUCUUCUCUUUCCAUCGGUCGUUCGUACGUUUCUAAAGACCGUAGAAUCCUUGAAUCGUGAACGAACGCGAGACGCAGAAUCGGCGGUCAUUAAUAUUGUCGGAUUAAACGGCCGCGUGCAUUAAUCCAGCCCCGAAGACGAAAUCCUAUUUCACGUCCCAGGCCUUCGGGGGUUCUUGUUUCGGAAUGUCAGUUUCAUUAGAGACGUUCGUGAUCGAGAAAGCGAUUAAAACGAAGGGGCGGAAGAGGAGAGGUAGGCUCGAAGGAGCGAAGUGUCGAGAAAAAAAUAUUCUCGCGCUCAGAAGGAAUU